AUUGAACGCUGGCGGCAGGCCUAACACAUGCAAGUCGAACGAGUGGCGGACGGGUGAGUAAUUUCUGGGAAACUGCCUGAUGGAGGGGGAUAACUACUGGAAACGGUCGCUAAUACCGCAUACUAUCAGAUGUGCCCAUAUGGGUUUAGCUUGUGGGGGGGGUAACGGCUCACCAAGGCGACUUUCCCUAGAGUGUCUGAGAGGAUGACCAGCCACACUGGAACUGAGACACGGUCCAGACUCCUACGGGAGGCAGCAGUGGGGAAUAGUGCACAAUGGGCGCAAGCCUGAUGCAGCCAUGCCGCGUGUAUGAAGAAGGCCUUAGGGUUGUAAAGUACUUGCAGCGGGGAGGCGUUACCCGCAGAAGAAGCACCGGCUAACUCCGUGCCAGCAGCCGCGGUAAUAC
rnacentral:rRNA from 1 species